rnacentral:tmRNA from 1 species
GGGGCUGAAUGGAUUUGACAGCGAAAGGAGGGGUGUGUAAGCACGCAGUGCGCUGUGGGCAGGCACUUAAAUCUCGACCCUCGACAUUUAAUUGGCGAAAACACUUACGCUCUCGCUGCUUAAACUGAAGAAUAGUAGGUUAGCUUUAUCUGCGCUCCAGGAGCACAGACGAGACAUCGCCCGAGGUAGCCGUUUUUUCCGAGGCGAUCUCAUUGCGGCGGUGCAGCAAAAUCGGGAAUAGCCAUGAGUAGCCUCGUGCUGAUGGUGAAACUUUAAGAGGAUAAGGGAAAAGCUUAGGUAGCUUCCGUCUUGCUUCUCCACGAAAACCUUUAGCGAAGCUAAGCGUGUAGAAAGCUCAUUCAUUCUUCGUUUGGACGAGGGUUCAAUCCCCUCCAGCUCCACA